CAUCAGCGUGAGGGAUAGAGGCGGUAUCCUUUUAUUUGUCCCGAUAGCUAUCGGGACGGAAUAAAAGAUAUAGCCGAUCCCGAAGCCUC
rnacentral:sRNA from 1 species